rnacentral:rRNA from 1 species
UGGGGAAUUUUGCACAAUGGGGGAAACCCUGAUGCAGCGACGCCGCGUGAUUUAGAAGGCCUUCGGGUUGUAAAAAUCUUUUCUAUGGGAAGAAAAUGACAGUACCAUAGGAAUAAGGACCGGCUAAUUACGUGCCAGCAGCCGCGGUAAUACGUAAGGUCCGAGCGUUGUCCGGAAUCAUUGGGCGUAAAGGGUACGUAGGCGGGUAAGCAAGUUAGAAGUGAAAUCCUAUAGCUCAACUAUAGUAAGCUUUUAAAACUGCUCAUCUUGAGGUAUGGAAGUGAAAGUGGAAUUCCUAGUGUAGCGGUGAAAUGCACAGAUAUUAGGAGGAAUACCGGUGGCGAAGGCGACUUUCUGGCCAUAACCUGACGCUGAGGUACGAAAGCGUGGGUAGCAAACAGG